CAGUAGCCGCGGUAAUACAGAGGGUGCGAGCGUUAAUCGGAUUUACUGGGCGUAAAGCGUGCGUAGGCGGCUUCUUAAGUCGGAUGUGAAAUCCCUGAGCUUAACUUAGGAAUUGCAUUCGAUACUGGGAAGCUAGAGUAUGGGAGAGGAUGGUAGAAUUCCAGGUGUAGCGGUGAAAUGCGUAGAGAUCUGGAGGAAUACCGAUGGCGAAGGCAGCCAUCUGGCCUAAUACUGACGCUGAGGUACGAAAGCAUGGGGAGCAAACAGGAUUAGAUACCCGGGUAGUCCUGUCUCUUAUACA
rnacentral:rRNA from 1 species